GACGAACGCUGGCGGCGUGCCUAAUACAUGCAAGUAGAACGCUGAAGGAGGAGCUUGCUCUUCUGGAUGAGUUGCGAACGGGUGAGUAACGCGUAGGUAACCUGCCUGGUAGCGGGGGAUAACUAUUGGAAACGAUAGCUAAUACCGCAUAAGAGUAGAUGUUGCAUGACAUUUGCUUAAAAGGUGCAAUUGCAUCACUACCAGAUGGACCUGCGUUGUAUUAGCUAGUUGGUGGGGUAACGGCUCACCAAGGCGACGAUACAUAGCCGACCUGAGAGGGUGAUCGGCCACACUGGGACUGAGACACGGCCCAGACUCCUACGGGAGGCAGCAGUAGGGAAUCUUCGGCAAUGGACGGAAGUCUGACCGAGCAACGCCGCGUGAGGGAAGAAGGGUUUCGGAUCGUAAAGCUCUGUUGUAAGAGAAGAACGAGUGUGAGAGUGGAAAGUUCACACUGUGACGGUAUCUUACCAGAAAGGGACGGCUAACUACGUG
rnacentral:rRNA from 1 species